rnacentral:ncRNA from 1 species
AAAUAUAGUCCGCAAACCUUCUGAAAAGAUGGGACGCAAAGCCAUUGGGUCUAAGGAUGUUAAGUCUAUGAUUGCCUGGCUGCAUUU